GCGCCGGUGGUGUAAAGGCGUAGAGCAUUCUCGCCCGGUCAGAGGGAGGUGCGGGUUCGAGUCCCGCCUAGCGCU
rfam:Heligmosomoides polygyrus genome assembly, scaffold: HPBE_contig0000140